AUACGGAGGGUGCAAGCGUUAAUCGGAAUUACUGGGCGUAAAGCGUACGUAGGCGGUUCGUUAAGUUAGAUGUGAAAGCCCCGGGCUUAACCUGGGAACUGCAUUUAAAACUGGCGGACUAGAGUUGAGUAGAGGGGAGUGGAAUUUCAGGUGUAGCGGUGAAAUGCGUAGAGAUCUGAAGGAACACCAGUGGCGAAGGCGACUCCCUGGACUCGAACUGACGCUGAGGUACGAAAGCGUGGGUAGCAAACGGCAUUAGAUACCCCGGUAGUCC
rnacentral:rRNA from 1 species